AAUGAACGUUGGCGGCGUGGAUUAGGCAUGCAAGUCGAGCGAGAAGUUCCUUCGGGGACGGACAGCGGCGAAAGGGAGAGGAAUACGUAGAAAUCUACCCCUGAGACUGGGAUAGCGUCGGGAAACUGACAGUAAUACCAGAUAACGUCUUAGGACCAAAGGUGUGAUUCCGCUUGGGGAUGAGUCUACGCCCUAUUAGCUAGUUGGUGGGGUAAUGGCCUACCAAGGCGAUGAUGGGUAGCGGGUGUGAGAGCAUGAUCCGCCUCACUGGGACUGAGAACUGCCCAGACAUCUACGGAUGGCUGCAGUCGAGAAUCUUUGUCAAUGGACGAAAGUCUGAACAAGCGACGCCGCGUGCGGGAUGAAGGCCUUCGGGUUGUAAACCGCUGUCGUAGGGGAACAAAUGUACGGGGGUUCUCCCCUGUAUUUGAGUGAUCCUAGGAGGAAGGAGAGGCUAAGCUCGUGCCAGCAGCCGCCGUAA
rnacentral:rRNA from 1 species